rnacentral:rRNA from 1 species
AACAAGGGGAAGACUCACAUAGAGGCAGCAGUAGAGAAUCUUGUGCAAUAAACGAAAGUAUGACACAGAGAGGACACAUUUAAUUGAGCCCGUCAAAUUAAGUGCCAGCCGACGCGGUUAAACUUAAGGGCUGGUCUUUAUAAGUAAAAAGGCGUAAAGGAUGUGUAGGCCAAGAAACGAUCCAAGUAGGUAAAUGGAAUUUUUCUGGAGCGGUAGAAUGUGAGGAUAGAAAAUAGAACCCCUAAGGUAAAAACUAUUUACUACAAGGUAGGCUGAAACAUGAGAGUGUGGGGAGCAAACAGGAUUAGAGACCCUGGUAGUCCACACUGUGAACUUUGAAGAUGAUGCUUAGCAGACCCGAAAGGUAAAAUCUUCCGCCUGAGUAGUACGAUCGCAAGAUUAAAAUUCAAAAACUUUGGCUGUUCACUAUUUCGAUUAGAGGAGCGUGUAGUUUAAUUCGAUGGUCCGCGUGUUACCUUACCCCAACUUGAAUCUGUGACCGGUAUUGCAUGGCCGUCGUAAGUUCGUGUAUUAAGCUAGAAGGGACCCAACCCGGGCAUUUGCCCGGAGGAAGUCAGGUCUUAUGAUCCGAAUGUUGGGGGAUUUUAUGCGCUACAUUUUCUUAUAUAAUGAGAAACCUGGAAGGUGAGUCUCUAAAGUAAGAGUUCGGAAGGUCGCUGUAAGACGACUGGAAGUUGGAUUUAAUAGUAAUCGGAAAGUAGGGCGUUCCGGUGAAUUGGUACAAGUGUUAGCACAAAUUGCCCGUCACCUUUACUUAGAAUGGUUAUUCGGAUGUCUUCGGUGA